rnacentral:sRNA from 1 species
CUCCGUGAACCUGAGAACAGUCUGCCUUUGAAGAAGUGAAGCAAGAUAACCGUUCUCCAGGACCAGGGCCGGGAGCUCUUCCACCCUGCAGGAGGUCCUGUCACUGCCUACCACCUUGCUGCUUACCAACAGGAGCUGUCUUUCCACAGUGACAGUGUCCACACCCCGAUAUGCAGACCUGUUAAUGCCUGGUGAUUGUAGGUGCCAUGAACCCAGUGAACUCAGAUGAGCUCGUCCCUACAUCCAACAGUGAGUAUUCUCCUGAGAAGGGAGAGAAGAGAGAAGGCCAUGAGCAACGUGAGGCAGAGAUCUAAUAGAUGCGGGUGCCAGGCUGGGAAGCCUAGUGCCAGGAGACGCAGAAGGAACAAAGACUGGAUCCCCACUCAGAGACCAAGAGCUCUGCCCCGUCACACCUGAUCUUUGACUGUGGCCUCUAGAAUGCUGAGGUAAUUACCAUGGUGACCGCAUAGGGCAGCCUCAAGAAACACCCAGAUACACAGGUGCACCCCUGCAGGCAGCUUCAGGGACCACGUACCCUCGCCGGCAGGGCAGCUGGAAUGCUGGGUUCUAUGGCAGGGUGAUGGUGGCUGUCUCGUGAGACUGGAUGCAAGAGGCGGCAGAUGCUGUCUGCCGUACACGCGGAUCAGCCACCAUCAGACACCAGCUUUCAGAACUACAUCUGGGAACCUUUUACAUUCCCCUGACAGAUGGCAGGCGGACACUUCGCUCUAAGAUUCAUUGUUUGGAGACAACUGUUAACUUUCUAUGUAUAAACAGACGCUUUGGCUGCGUUAUGGGGUGUGAACCCCGAAAGAUGGCAUACACAGGUAGCAGCCCAGGGAAUUACAUGGCUGCAGGAUCCCUAAGAGAAGACAAGACGUCCAUCCGUUCAUGGUCAUCAAACACCAGGGCCAAGGAAACGAACGGGCACACCAAAGACAGAAUCGAACAGCGACAAAAGCCAGCUCACCGGCUAAACCCUACAUGUGUGUUUAUGUCUUCAGAUAGACAGAUACCUCAAAGCUGGCUGUGGUCUGCAGGAACUAACAUAUGUGUUUUCCAGCUCAGUGACAUUAGCA